CCUACGGGAGGCAGCAGUGGGGAAUAUUGGUCAAUGGAGGAAACUCUGAACCAGCAACGCCGCGUGAAUGAUGAAGCCCUUCGGAUUGUAAAGUUCUUUUCUAAGGGAGGAAGAAAGUGACGGUAUCUUAGGAAUAAGCCUCGGUUAACUACGUCCAAGCAGCCGCGGUAAUACGUAGGAGCCGAGCGUUAUCCGGAAUGACUGGGCGCAAGGGGUGCGUAGGCGGUCGGUUAAGUUAGAGGUGAAAUCCCGAGGCUCAACUUCGGAAUUGCCUCUGAAACUGGUCGGCUAGAGAGUAGUUGCGGUAGGCGGAAUGUAUGGUGUAGCGGUGAAAUGCUUAGAGAUCAUACAGAACACCGAUUGCGAAGGCAGCUUACCAGGCUACUUCUGACGUUGAGGCACGAAAGCGUGGGGAGCAAACAGGAUUAGAUACCCGAGUAGUC
rnacentral:rRNA from 1 species